GCUAUACUGGCAGUCGAGCGGACAGAUGGGAGCUUGCUCCCUGAUGUUAGCGGCGGACGGGUGAGUAACACGUGGGUAACCUGCCUGUAAGACUGGGAUAACUCCGGGAAACCGGGGCUAAUACCGGAUGGUUGUUUGAACCGCAUGGUUCAGACAUAAAAGGUGGCUUCGGCUACCACUUACAGAUGGACCCGCGGCGCAUUAGCUAGUUGGUGAGGUAACGGCUCACCAAGGCGACGAUGCGUAGCCGACCUGAGAGGGUGAUCGGCCACACUGGGACUGAGACACGGCCCAGACUCCUACGGGAGGCAGCAGUAGGGAAUCUUCCGCAAUGGACGAAAGUCUGACGGAGCAACGCCGCGUGAGUGAUGAAGGUUUUCGGAUCGUAAAGCUCUGUUGUUAGGGAAGAACAAGUGCCGUUCAAAUAGGGCGGCACCUUGACGGUACCUAACCAGAAAGCCACGGCUAACUACGUGCCAGCAGCCGCGGUAAUACGUAGGUGGCAAGCGUUGUCCGGAAUUAUUGGGCGUAAAGGGCUCGCAGGCGGUUUCUUAAGUCUGAUGUGAAAGCCCCCGGCUCAACCGGGGAGGGUCAUUGGAAACUGGGGAACUUGAGUGCAGAAGAGGAGAGUGGAAUUCCACGUGUAGCGGUGAAAUGCGUAGAGAUGUGGAGGAACACCAGUGGCGAAGGCGACUCUCUGGUCUGUAACUGACGCUGAGGAGCGAAAGCGUGGGGAGCGAACAGGAUUAGAUACCCUGGUAGUCCACGCCGUAAACGAUGAGUGCUAAGUGUUAGGGGGUUUCCGCCCCUUAGUGCUGCAGCUAACGCAUUAAGCACUCCGCCUGGGGAGUACGGUCGCAAGACUGAAACUCAAAGGAAUUGACGGGGGCCCGCACAAGCGGUGGAGCAUGUGGUUUAAUUCGAAGCAACGCGAAGAACCUUACCAGGUCUUGACAUCCUCUGACAAUCCUAGAGAUAGGACGUCCCCUUCGGGGGCAGAGUGACAGGUGGUGCAUGGUUGUCGUCAGCUCGUGUCGUGAGAUGUUGGGUUAAGUCCNGCAACGAGCGCAACCCUUGAUCUUAGUUGCCAGCAUUCAGUUGGGCACUCUAAGGUGACUGCCGGUGACAANCCGGAGGAAGGUGGGGAUGAA
rnacentral:rRNA from 1 species